AAUCUUUACUUAGUCGAGUCAGUGAUAGCUCUGAGAAGCCGCCUUCGUUAACAAGGUAGCGAGCUCUACGACUAACUGCUACGGUGGUCAUCGCGAUGACGACUACAGAAGAGGUAGUGCACCCUGCACCGGACAUCUUCGACAAAGGCACGGCGCACUGCGCAAACAUUUAUCCUCCGAGCGUCACUGACUCGACUCAACUACGACUGGUGCGGGCACGGAAUGAAAUCCGUCAGCGCUUCGGAAUUUGGCUGAACCUCCCCUGACCCAUUGGCUUCACGAGGCUCCGAACUAUAGAUAAGCUCCGCAUCCAUGACAACGGCGAACAUAACGGCUUCACUUGAGCACGGCGGGCUUAGCGAAGAUCUCUUCUAAUUCACGUCACGUGCCCAAUUCGGUUUUUAUUGGAUUUUCUACGUAGUUAUAUAAUCUCAAUAGAUCUGAUACACGUAAGUGCGAAUUCAUAAAUAUCAAAUAUACGUUACGUACGUUUCGCCUUGUGUUUCUCGGAGCACUCGGGCGCGGUAUCUUCUGUUUGGGCUCGCUGUAUAGUUCUUGAUCACGAAGAGUUUUGCCUUAUUGGGAAAAAGAUGAAUGCUCUAACAUCUCUACGCGGACAAUCCCGAAUUUGUAAAUGUAGGGGCUUAUUACCGGUCCCUCGACUGGUGGUAAAUGGAGGUAAUUAAGGAUGUAUAAGGCACGGGUAAUGCGAACGGUAACAGACUGAUUUUUUUUUAAAUGAAAGGUAGACAUAGUCGGGAGACAGAAGAUAAUAUAACACUAAGCCGCGCCAAGACUUAACGUCUGCACGUUUUAUAUUUUUGUUGUUCUUUUCUCACAAAUCGAUAAGUAAUAAUUGUAAUACUAGUAUAAUAAAUUAUCUUAACAUUAAUUAAUUUUCUUGUCAAAUAAUUUUGGAACUGUAUAUGCUUAAUUUAAAUUUUAAUAGAUUUUAUAAAUUAAGUAGUGAAACACUAUGGCGAUUAAACGUUUGCAACACAUUUCAAUGGAGCAUUGCAACCUCACUAAACAUAAAUCAACCGACAUAUAUGCAUAUUUAUGGAAAUAGUAGUAAUAUUAUACAUUUAUAGAAUGUACUUCUCCCUGUGUGUAUUUCGAAGGCAUUUAUCUUGAUAUUAUGAGAUCGGUUAACAGCAGCACGCACACAGGUGAAGAUUUUGUAUUAAUCUAUUAGUAUAGAAUAUAGAUGCUUACGUUUUCACAGUCGAAAGAACCGCUUGAGAGAUACUUUACAUCGCAUUUACAUAUUAAUUAAAGUUUCAAUAAAGACUAAAUUUUGUAGUAAGUGUUUGUCACAUUUACUACAAAUUUAAAUACAGUAAAGAAUGACAUACUUCCUCCAAUUCUUUCGAUAGGUGUUAAUGCUUCACGUCAUAUUUCAGACGAAAUGUCUAAGGGAAAGAUUUGAGAAACGUGUUUUAAGAGAACGGAAUAUAUACUCUGGAUGAGAUUAGAUAAUGUGAUGGCAUAUUGGAUGGUUAAGAUGGUGCAAGUUAGCCGUAGUUGAAAAUGACUGUCGGAUCGACUAUUUUGUUUUUACAUGAUUGCGUUAAGUCCUUUUAUUAAGUCUGAAUGUUCGAAAAACUGUUUCAUUGACACCUUUGCUGUGACGUUAUAUUUACCUAUUUAGACAAUUGACAAGAUUAUGAGAUUUAUUUUGACCAAUCGAAUUACACAAAAUUACAUGAUACUUGGACUUUACAAUUAAAAAUAAAUGUUUGUCUUAUUUACAAUUUAUUAUAUAAGACGUCAAGGAGAACUCGCUUAGCAACAAUUACGACAGAUAUUUGACGCAAAGAAGUAGCUCAUUCGCGAAACCCGAGACCGUUAAUGUUGUUAUUCAUCGGUAUGAGAGAUCUUAGUAUGUAAUUUCAAAGUACGAGCGAGGGGUAUCGCGUUAUUAGCUACUUCUAAAGCAUAUAAGCAGUAGUUAGUCGUAGGUGACAUGAUUGAACGGACUAUUAUAAUUAUUCGCCAUAUUUACUUUUAUACACAAAUAUUUACCAAUAUAUAAGUGUCGUAUUUUUGAGAUGUUUGUUCAUGAUUCAUGGCAGCCGCGAAAGCAAAACAGUCAUGAGCAAAUUGUGUUUUUUUAUACAUACGAAUACAAUGAGAAGUGGUAGGACGGAUAUAGAGAGGGAUUGAUACAAUGACUCGAUGCUGCCAAUAAUGUUUGUAGGUCGAAGCGCGGACGGCUAUGUCGGACCAUUGUAUGAAUUACAUGCCCUUAGUGCGGAUCGUAUGAACAAAGCGAAACUCAUAAACCUCAAUAAAAGCAAUAAACUUUAUGUGUAUUUCGUUCGGAUUACUUUUAUAAUUCAUAAUAUAUUAUGACAGCAACCUAGAAACUACCUCAUUGUGCUCACGAUUAGGUUUCGGGAUCUCCUCCACCACCACCCUGGUCAAUACUCCUUUUCACGGCUAUUUGGAGGCGAUCUUAGAAACUGGAUGCGAUUUAUAAAUAAACAUUAUUUUUUAUAACGAUUGUCACUCCACUUACAACAACAUCCGGAGUGAUACACGACUAGAGUCGUAUGAAUCGUUGAGUAGUUUUAAGAGUCAACGUAGUAUUCUAUAAACAAGCAAUAUUAUAACAAUUCAUAGCUUUUUUCGUAGUUUAAGAUUUCAACACGACGCGGGCGCGUUUUAUUUCAACAUUCUUAUUAUAAUUUUCGAAUUCUUCUUACCUUACCGCUUCUAUUUAAAUUAAAACAAAAAAAAAAUUAAAUUAACGAGAUAUAUUUUUAUUUCAUUUUCAAGCAGUGCCGGCGCCGUGGUAACGCAGUAAAUUAGCGAUGAUCAAACAUUACGUGCCUUAAAAAUAAAUAUGAUUUUAGAUAGUGCUUUGUGUAUGUAUGUGAACAAACAGCGUUUAGAAACGAUACACGAUGCAUUUAUUUAUGAAAUAUACCGCCUAUGUUGGAUUCAUUAUUUAUUUAACAUCUGUAUCGCCGUUUGUACACAAACAAUGCACACCGUUACUAGUAAGUGAUAAGGCGAAUAUUAUGAUAUGCUAUGCGAGUUCCUCUACACUAGUCGAUAGCCGACUGACUUUGUCUUGACUUUAUUGCACUUUUCGUUUUCACCAUCAUAAUCGAAAAUGACGCUGAAUGUACCACCUAGGGCCGGACGAGAGCUUCUGAUAUUCUCGAUGUCACGAGGUCGAAUCUACUCAAGUAACAACUCUUACACCGUGUAAUCGAGGACAUUUAAAUCUCUCAGUACUAAUCGGAUAGCAGUAGUAUUACACUUUAAUGGUAUUCUCGAUGUUUGAUGCUUUUUACUCAAUGUGUAGAUCAAAUCUAUAUUUAACAUCUCGCAGCUGAUCCGUUGACAGUUUCGUAGGUUCUCCGGAGUACUUAGAGUUCAUUACGUUGCGCGGUUUAGGAUUCGUGCCUUAAUAUUAAAAUAGUGAAGGAAAAUAUUAUCAUCGUUUCGCGAUUCACCAUCCAGAGAGCCCGGAGACUUGCCCAACUGUCAGUUAUAAUUCGGCUCUAUAUUUAGCCUCUAGGCUUAACUGCGGCGUACCUUUGAGUAACGGAGCACAUGAUGGUCAAUUUAAAUAUUAACAUAUAAUUCACUUUGAGUUAUCUGAGCGACGUUUUGUUCACAUAUUGACAUAUUAAUUCAAUUGACAAAAAUAAUUUCAUUAUAAGUUCUUACGUGCGAUCAUAAGUUGAUUGUUUUAUCAAGUCGUUUGAAGUUAUUUAAUAUGAGUCUGAUUUAAUACUAUCGGUUCGUCGGUGUUUAAUGUCACAGUUUGAAUAAAUAUUUAGAAUGAAACAAAAAGACUAAUGAUGAAGCUAAAUACUUAAAGUUAGAGAAUAAUGAAGCUAAAUACUUAAAUUAGAGAAUACUUGUAGUUUCAACUAAGUGUGGCAUGCAUUACGAAUGAUAUUUGCAACUCACACGAAAACCGAACACUCCGAGAACGUCACUCGUUGAGAAAUUAGAACCGAUGUUGUUAAUUGUUUUAUAUGACGCGUUUAUUUUGAUAUAUGAUUUUAUUUUAACGGUGAGAUGUCAAGAUGGUUUUUUCUGGUGUUUUCGAACGAUGAACUUUUUAGUAUAAUAAGUAGGCACCUGUUUUGAGCAACGAUUUUCGGAAUAAAAUUACGUAUGAGUGCUAAUGAGCAGUGCAAACGAUUGAGUCUAGAAAUUAGAGUUCAUUUGUUUUAAAAUUAAUUUUGAUUACAUUCAGAUGAGUUUAAUAAAUAUUUCUGAAGUUCGAUCCGACAGAAUAUUUUUCGACAUUGACAAUUGAUCCUUUCUUAACACUAAAUUUAAUAGUUUCAUUUUUUGUAUUAAAUUAAAUUAGAAAUGUAAUUCAUUGGCUACAUUGUUACGAAUUAUGUUAUUUGAUUGAAAUGUAUAUGAUGUGUUAUUUACUUAAGUUAAGUCACACAAAUACUGUAAGAAUAUCAAUAACACGUUCCGCUAUCACUGAUGUUAAGCACUUAUGUCUAUACCGACAGUAAUAUAGGAACGUUAUAUUCUUAUUCGCAUACAUAAUAAGGAUUGGGAAAUGUGAGCAAAGUAUCAGAACGAUUAGGAAUUCUAUAGAUAUCUUUUUUGAAAUAUUAUAAUAGAUAUGAAUAUUUAAUCUCAUAAUGUAAUGGUCGAACAGCCCACGCUAGUGUUGUGUCAGCGAAAGGAGAUGGUGUCGCUGGAUGUUAGAAGAAAGAUUUUUAGGGCUUAAGCCCUUUGUCGUGCGCGUCAGUUGCAUUAUGUUAUCUCUUGAUCAAUCAGGUCCCGACGGACUUGCAAGCGUUAAUGUGUUGCGACAGACCGUAUAGCAGGUGGCAUGUAGACCUAUAUGCAGUUCAUAUUAAAUAUCGACCUGAACCGUAUACAUCUACAUGUCACCUAAGUACCCAUUCGAGCCGAUGCGAGCUCUUUCUGAUUGUAUACCGUAAGUUUAUAAUACGUCGGAUCUUUCGAACGAUGAGGGGAAAUACGAAGGCAAAAUUAUCCACAUCCACAACAGAAUAUCGGAAAUAAUAUUUGGAAAAAAGUUUGUUAACGAAAGUGUCAUAUUACACAAAUGCUCUCUGGUUUAUCGGUCGGAUAUAUUCCCCCGACACAACACAGCGUGGAGAUUUAGGAUUAAUUAACUUAUACGCAUAUAUGUCUCGAUAUAACUAUCGAUGUUCGAUGUUGUGUACUUUCUUCUUCUCUCUGGAAGCUACAGUUCACCUACUAACGACCUACGCGGGACUUCAACAUCAAAUAUUUUGACCGUUUUAUUAAUUGAAACGACGUUUAGACAUGUUCAACUUACUUCUACACUUGUAUUCUUGAAUCUUUAAACUUACCAAUUGUAAAUCAAGUUUUUUUACAAAUUACCUACACAACAUAAAUUCAUUUUCCAGCCGAAUCAUUUAUUUUGUAUUGAAUAUUUCACUUUCUUUAUAUUAUAGAAUUUAGUAAAAGGAUUUUGCUUGACUUAGUGAAUUUUCAUGUAUGAUUAAAUGCAAUAUAACUUUAUAACUGAUAUCGCUUAUUUAAUAAAGUAAUAGAGGACUUA